UACGUAGGGGGCUAGCGUUGUCCGGAAUCAUUGGGCGUAAAGCGCGUGUAGGCGGCCCGGUAAGUCCGCUGUGAAAGUCGGGGGCUCAACCCUCGAAAGCCGGUGGAUACUGUCGGGCUCGAGUACGGAAGAGGCGAGUGGAAUUCCUGGUGUAGCGGUGAAAUGCGCAGAUAUCAGGAGGAACACCAAUUGCGAAGGCAGCUCGCUGGGACGGUACUGACGCUGAGACGCGAAAGCGUGGGGAGCGAACAGG
rnacentral:rRNA from 1 species